AUCUGCCCCAUUUCGUGAUAGAGGAAGCUGGUAGGAGACUGCAAAAAUGAGUCUGCAAUUGAGAAAUUAUGUCACUAGCGUAACGACAGCGGGACUCAUCCCCACUGUUAGUCCGUGCCUCCCCGUAGGUAACCCAACAGUCCCUUCCUUUCAGAGCCAUAACAAGUGCCAUAGCAGACGUGAGAAUACACACAAAGUGCGUUGCCCCGUUUCGUCACAUUUGCUGCUGCCAGUCUUGCCUCCGCUCAGAAACAGGAUGAGGGGUGCCUGUGUUGUGUGUUUUUGUCACCUCGUUACAGCCGCACGACAAAAGCGACGGCACCAAAAAUUACUGGCGGCGCAGGCGCGUAAACAGAACUAACGAACAAGAUGACACGUGGACUGGAGUUUCGUGGGUCGGGAGGGAACAGAGGUAAAUAUACUUUUAGAUUUCCGUGCAGUUGUGGUUAUGUCGGUGGUGGACGCUGCAAGGACAAUCUGACUGAAAGGUACUAGUGGUCGAGUUAGAGGGACGGAGUCACGCAAUCCAGUCCACAGCUUCUGGUUUGCCGUUGUUUUGGUGGCAAGUCAGCAGGCGGUCCACACAUGGUGGUGAGGGUGGUCGAAGGCACAGAAGUUUGGUGGGGGACGCUUCCACACACUUUGAAAGAACUAUCGAAGCGUCGAAGAACCCAGGUUAACACUCGUCGUUCUAGUCUCGCCAACCGCUCAGUGUUUCAGAAGUUGAGGCAUACAAGGAGAAACCACAGAUUCUGCGAAAAUAGCUGUUGAUGAGCUAAAGGCUGACACCAAAGAGCGCUAACACUUCAGAGGUAAGAAAAGACUGGCGGCAUUCUGUGUGAUAUGACGAUGCUGAUGCGUUCGUUCUCAAUGAAAAUGCCGAAAGGUCAAUGUUUCCGUAUUUCGUGGAUCUGACUAUUUCAUUUCAUUUGUCACUGCAUUUCAAGCACAGUGUCAUUACAUGCAGAACUAAGCAUACCCGAGGUCGAGGCAAACGGUCUGUCAGUGUCAAACCGUGCUUGAGCCACCUAUAAACGUUACUGCAGCGCAGAAGCUUCCCCCCCUAAAUGCUUCCCUUCUAUAUUAUUGCAGUGUAGCCGCUGGGGUGCAAGUUAGAUCGCGUCGCCCCCCUCAGUGCAGAAGCUGGUUUAACGGGCGCUAGUUAUGCGUGGCAGUAUGUGGCGUUAGUUGUACACAUUCCUACAGCCAGGCCUCGUCGACGAGUGCCUCCUUAGAAGCUUGCAUGCCGAGCCCAUGGCUUCUUGACCCUACUAAAGUACGUCAGGUGUCAACCAACUAUAAAAGAGCAGCUGCCACACUAUGAGAAACACCUGGCGGAUUCUGGAGGCGAGUGGCUCUUAUCGUAGAUUGGGCGUUCCGCAACAUCAUUCGCUACCACCCCACUCUCUACUCGGGUCUCGAAUGCACGUUUGUCUGCACUAGACGGUGUCCGCUGUUUUUCCUUUCUGAACUUCGAUGCGCAUUCCCGUUCAAGAUACGCCAGAGACGAGCCUCUUGUAUACAGGCC
rnacentral:lncRNA from 1 species